AUGGAAAGCACUUUGAAAAGAGGGUGAAAAGCACCUGAAACCGCCAUGGGGGAAGCGGAUUGCAUCAGUGUUUGCUUGUAUCUGUUCAGCUAUCAAAUUGGUAGUGUAUUCAGUACUUGCUGUGUUGGCAUGGCUGCUUUGGCUUUGGAUUAUGCAAGGCUAAGUGGUGAGGGCUCCUUUCUAGUUGAGGAUGUCAACAAAAUGAUGCGACCCGACCCGUCUUGAAACACGGACCAAGGAGUCUAGCACUACUGCAAGUCGAAGGGUUUAAAAACUCAGGGGCGAAGUGAAAGCGAAUAUUAGGAGAUCUGAUACAGAUUAGGGAGGUGUUGCGACGUUGUCAAAAUAUCCUACCCAGAGCAGUUGUGCUGGGACCCGAAAGAUGGUGAACUAUGCCGGAAUAGGGCAAAGCCAGAGGAAACUCUGGUGGAGGCUCGUAGCGAUGCUGACGUGCAAAUCGCUCGUCGAAUUUGGGUAUAGGGGCGAAAGACUAAUCGAACCAUCUAGUAGCUGGUUCCCUCCGAAGUUUCUCUCAGGAUAGCGGGCCGACGAUGUGUGUUGUUUUGUGU
rnacentral:rRNA from 2 species